rnacentral:rRNA from 1 species
UACGUAGGGUGCAAGCGUUAAUCGGAAUUACUGGGCGUAAAGCGUGCGCAGGCGGUUUUGUAAGUCUGUCGUGAAAUCCCCGGGCUCAACCUGGGAAUGGCGAUGGAGACUGCAAGGCUAGAGUUUGGCAGAGGGGGGUAGAAUUCCACGUGUAGCAGUGAAAUACGUAGAUAUCUGGAGGAACACCGGUGGCGAAGGCGGCCUUCUGGACCAGUACUGACGCUCAUGCA